UACGUAGGGGGCAAGCGUUGUCCGGAUUUACUGGGCGUAAAGAGCGUGUAGGCGGCCACGCAGGUCCGUUGUGAAAACUGGAGGCUCAACCUUCAGACGCCGACGGAAACCGUGUGGCUAGAGUCCGGAAGAGGAGAGUGGAAUUCCUGGUGUAGCGGUGAAAUGCGCAGAUAUCAGGAGGAACACCGAUGGCGAAGGCAGGUCUCUGGGCCAUAACUGACGCUGAGAAGCGAAAGCAUGGGGAGCGAACAGG
rnacentral:rRNA from 1 species